rnacentral:rRNA from 1 species
UACGUAGGGAGCAAGCGUUAUCCGGAAUUAUUGGGUGUAAAGGGUGCGUAGGCGGCACAGCAAGUCAGAUGUGAAAGACCGGGGCUCAACCCCGGGGCUGCAUUUGAAACUGCCGAGCUUGAGUCCGGGAGAGGCAGGCGGAAUUCCUAGUGUAGCGGUGAAAUGCGUAGAUAUUAGGAGGAACACCAGUGGCGAAGGCGGCCUGCUGGACCGGAACUGACGCUGAGGCACGAAAGCGUGGGGAGCAAACAGG